AUAUCCAAAAUCUAAGACGAUAUUUACUCUCAUAUCACGAUAUCGAUAUAAUAUCGAUAUAUUGUCCAGCUCUCUGUACAACUUAGUGCUACACUGGAGAAGGACAUAAAUUUGCACAGACCUUCGAAUUGGUCAUGUUUGCCGGACAAUAUGAAGUUCUUAAGAAUAAUGCCUGCAGCUUACGUCACUUACAUCAAGUAUCACUUUAUUUGUCAUUUCACUGAGUACUUGCAUACACAGAAGAAACAAAAAGUUGUUUCUCAUCAGUCACAGUGCAAUAAAAACGGAAAUAAAUACUUAUAAGUUAAAAAAAAAUAUCAUGUCUAAAAUAGAGCUAAACACAAACAUUCAGACAGAACUGAAUAUAAUACCCCAGCCAGAUGUUUGGCAAGCCCAGGUCUCUAUAUGCUUGAAAAAGAACCACCACAAAGCAGCCAAACUGUAAUUAUCCAAAGUUUGAAUAGAUUUAAAUGGCCACUUUAUAUAAUAAACUAACCAGGGUCAAAUAUUAGGCCGAGGGCACUGUAGCUCCUCAAAGCGAUGUUAUUCCUCCCUUAUGAAAAAUCCGGGGAUCAUUUUUGUUUUCUUCUGCACACCACAGCACCCUUCAAAUAAAGUCUAAAGGCUGCCAUUAAAGUGGAGCAUAUGCAUGUGUAGGCAUGGAGUGGCGUGUGAGGCCCUUACAGGCAGACUGCAGGUCUGUUAGUCAUUACGGGUGAAUGUACUGUACAGUAUACACUGGAGUGGACAUGCAGCUACAUUAAAGUCUCGCCCACGGCCACGUCAGACCACCCCAGAGACACACCACUGGCACUUCCUCCACCCGCUUCCACCGCUCAGCCUUGGGGGGACGCGCGCUUUGGGAUUUCCGGAGGACGCACUGGACAAUAAUUGUCCGUUGAUUAGUAAACUUUCUAGUGAAAAAGAUGGUCAGAUUGCCUUUUAACUGUUUUGUGUUUACAUCUGAUUUUGUCUUCUAUCUGUAGGUGUCCCGUUAGUGCCUCCUGAUGCUUGUGACUCUGUGAAGAUGAAGAUCGUUUUUCUAUGAGAUGCUGUUAUGGCCAGUUUUGAAGUGAAGAUGAAAGACUUUCAAGUUCCUCUGAUUAAUGAGGUGGUGGUAAGGCAAUAAAGCAGAACCUCUGAAAAAAUGAAUGGAAAAAAAACAACCGAACCAUGUUUGCCCUGUGGAUAGUGGACUCAUUCUGCCACUGUCCUGUGUCAUUAUGUCCCUUUGCUGUGUGACCUGUCCUCUGGGGUUUGAGUGAGUGUCCCUGUCCCCUGCUCUGUCUGUCCUCCUUCCUCUACGCCCUGCCUCGUCUUGUCAGCUCAGCUCACGGUCACAGCCCUGCUUGCCUCGGUGAACAUUCAACGCUGUCGGUGAGUUUUGGUAUGGAUCACAUAAAAACCAUCGACCGUUGACUGUGCCCCGAGGCUUGCUCCGACGACGUCGGGAAUGAGCAAAAAAUAAAUAAAAUGAAAUGAGCAAAAGGGCAAGUGGGCGCAUGCAAAAAUCGAGAGACGAAGACGCACACGUACAAAAGUGACACUCUGUUUCCACUGUACCCAAAGACCAAAGGUCACAAUCAACAUUCAUUGCUGUCGCUGGGUUGGACUGUGUAGAAAAGCUCACUGAACAAUGAGUGCAACUGUGGCCCAGAUCUGCCUGACUCGCGUCUCAGCCAAUCGGCCGACCGGAUGCGAAACACUUUGUUUUCUUUAUUUAUAUUACUUCUUGUUUUUCACUUCUAUUUUCUCCCCUCUUCCUCCCUCCCUGGCGCUGAAUAGUCUUCAGGGGAAGAGAGAGAGAGAUAGAGACAUAAAUAGACUUCUGGCGGCUUGCUUGUCCUCAUCCUCCUCUCCUCUAAUUGGUGGUUAUGUGUGCAGCAAGGGGGAAGGAAGCGGAGUGAAUGUGUAAUCAUUUGGAGUCUCUUCUCCUUUAGAUGUUUCAUCCCUCUCUCUUUUUUGUUUGUCUAAUUAUAUACUGAGCUCUGUUAACUCUGUGUUAACUGUGCUGGCAAGAAUGAGCGAGUGACAAAGAGAGGGAGGACAAUGGGGAAACACAAAAAGGUGGAGAGAUUAGAGCACCAGUAAACGUAUUAUCUAGUUUUCAGUAUAUGUAUUCUAAUAUUAUUCCUAAUGUUGCUGCAAAUGUGACCGGAUAUAAGCAUUUAUUUUUUUAAAUGCAGAAAGGAGAUUGUUUUCACCUCUUUGGCUGAGGUCUCAUUGUGUGUGUGUGUGUGUGUGUGUGUGUGUGUGUGUGUGUGUGUGUGUGUGUGUGUGUGUGUGUGUGUGUGUGUGUGUGUGUGUGUGUGUGUGUGUGUGUGUGUGUGUGUGUGUGUGUGUGUGUGUGUGUGUGUGUGUGUGUGUGUGUGUGUGUGUGUGUGUGUGUGUGUGUGUGUGUGUGUGUGUUAUUUUCCUUCUAUCCCCAAGCAGCUUGCUCCCUCAUGGGAAAACACAAGUCUCUAACCUUGUCUUCCUGCAGACAGUGUGGGACCGGCCACGCUGCUGCCAUUUCUCUUUGUACCCAUCUGUAACAACUCUCUGACACUGCGUCCUGUAUCUGUAAUUCAUGGAAUGUAAACACACAGUUGAGAUAUAUGUAGGAAUGCGUUUGGGAAAGUGUGAUAAUUCAUGAAUUAAUUAAAUAAAGUUGAAUCAGAAUCCA